rfam:Capsicum annuum cultivar Zunla-1 chromosome 2, whole genome shotgun sequence
AUAUCUUGGCUCUUGCAUCGAUAAAUAAUGUAGUAAAAUAUGUUACUUGGUACGUAUUGUAGAAUCCAUGAAUCAUCGAGUCUUUGCAUGCAUGUUUCAGCUCCAUCAUACGAAUUGUAGACUGGAGAAGCGUCCUCAACGAUGGACCGAGCCCAAGUCCCUUCGAAGGGGAUGCUAGAGAGGUUGAGAGCCCCAUUAUGCAUGGAUCCUCUCGCAUUAUGAGAUGCUAUCUACAAAUCAGUUUGUUUAGGACUGCGGCCCAAAUCGAGCAGUGAAUUCCAUCCAAGGCUAAAUACGAGCGAGAUACCGAUAGCAAACAAGUACCUUUAGGGAAAGAUAAAAAUGACAUUGAAAAGAGUAUCAAAAAGUGCUUGAAAUUAUCGGGAGGGAAGCGUAUAGGGGUCAGUGACGUGCCCCGAUCAGAGAUAGAAUAGCGAUGAGCUGGUCCAUCGAUCUACUCAGGGCAUGAACUAGCGUGGAUUGGGGGGCGGCCAAAGCCAGAGCUCUCGAUACACUCGUGGAACGCCAUUUACUCAAUUGUGGUAUGAAGCACAUGACACUAGUAUUCUUGGGCAUCUACGCACACUAAACGUUAUCCUAUGGGCACCCCAUUCAACUCGUCUUAAAACACGGACCAAGGAGUCUGACAUAUGUGUGAGUCAACAGGCAAGUAAACCCGUAAGGUGUAAGGAAGGUGAUUUAUGGGAUCCCCCAGAGGGGUGAACCGCCGACCGAACUUGAUCUUUUGAGAAGGGUUCGAGUGAGAGCAUACCUAUCGGGACCCAGAAGAUUGUGAAAUAUGCUUGAGCGGGGCAAAGUAGGAGGAAACUCUGAUGGUGGUUCGUAGCAACACUAACGUGCAAAUCAUUCGUCAGACUUGGGUAUAAGGGCGAAAGACUAAUCAAACCAUUUAGUAGCUGGUUUCUUAAGAAGUUUCCCUCAGGAUACCUAGAUCUUGCGUGCGAGUUCUAUUAGGUAAAGCCAAUGAUUAGAGGCCUCAGGGGCACAACGUCCUUGACCUAUUCUCAAACUUUAAAUAGGUAGGGUAGCACGGCUGUUUUGUUGAGCCACGCUAUCGAAUGAAGAGCUCCAAGUGGGCCAUUUUGGGUAAGAAGAACUGGUGAUGUAGGAUGAAUACAAAGAUAGGUUAUGGUGCCAAAAUAUGCGCUAACCUAGACCCACAAUGGGUGUUGGUCGAUUAAGAAAGAAGGAUGAUGGUCAUGGAAGUCGAAAUCCACUAAUUAGUAUGUAAAAACUCACCUGCCAAAUCAAAUAGCCCCAAAAAUGAAUGGCACUUAAGCGCACAUCCUACACCUGGCCAUCGUGGCAAGUGCAAGGCCCAGAUGAAUAGGAGGGCAUGGCGGUCGCUACAAAAACUUGGGCGCGAUCCCAGGUAGAGAAUCCUUGGUAGAAAAUAUCAAAUGAGAACUUUAAAGACCGAAGCAAGAAAAGGUUGUAUGUGAAUGGUUGUUGAAUAUGGUUUAGUUGAUUCUAAGGGUUGGGGGAACCCCGACAGAUAGCGCAUUUUGUGCAUACUCAAAAAGAGAAUCGGGUUCAAAUUGGGACAUGUCAGUCGAUGGCAACGUUAGGAAGUGUGGAGACGUCGGAGGAAGCCUCGGGAAGAGUUAUCUUUUUUUUUAAUAGCCUGCUCACCCUGGAAUCAGCUCAGCCGGAGAAGAGGUCCUGCGGCUGGAAGAGCACCGCACGUCACAUGGUUUUUGGUAAGCUUCCGGUAGCCUUUGAAAAUUUAGAUUACCGAAUAGCGUUCAUGCCCGGUCGUACUCAUAACCGCAUUAGGUCUCCAUGGUGAACAACCUCUGGUCGAUGGAAUAGUGUAGGCAAGGGAAGUGGGGAAAUAUGGAUCCAUAACUUUGAUAAAAGGAUUGGCUCUGAGGGUUGAUCAUGGGGGUCCUAUUCCCAAACCUAUCAGCUGUCGGUGAACUGCUCGAGUUGCUCACACAAUGAGAGUGGGUCGCCGCAUGCCUGCCGAGGGCCAGACUGGGAAUGGUUCCUUCGGGGGCCUUCCCCGCACAUCGAACAACCAACUCAAAACUAGUACGAACAUGGGGAAUCUGACUAUUUAAUUAAAACAAAGUAUUGCGUUGGUCCAAACAUGUUCACGCAAUAUGAUUUCUGCCAAGUGCUCUGGAUAUUAAAGUGAAGAAAUUUAACCAAGAGUGGGUAAACAGCAGGAGUAACAAUGACUCUCUUUAGGUAGGCAAAUGCCUCGUUAUCUAAUUAGUGAAAUUCAUGAAUGGAUUAACAAGAUUCCCACUAUCCCUGUCUACUAUCCAGUGAAACCACAGCUAAGGAAAUGGGCUUGGUAGAAUCAGUGGGGAAAGAAGACCCUACUGAACUUGACUCUAUUCCAACUUUGUGAAAUGACUUAAGAGGUGUAGUAUAAGUGGGAUACAAAAGGCGAAAGUGAAAUACCACUACCUUUAACAUUAUUUUACUUAUGCCGUGAAUCAAAAGUGGGGCACUGCCCCUUUUUUUAGACCUAAGGCUCUCUCUGUGGGCCGAUCUAGGUGGAAGACAUUGUCAGAUGAGGAGUUUGGCUGGGGCAGCACAUCUAUUGAAAGAUAAUGCAGGUGUCCUAAGAUGAGCUCAACGAGAAUACAAAUCUCGUGUGGAAAAGAAGGGUAAAAACUCAUUUGAUUCUAAGUUCCAGUAUGAAUAAGAACCGUGAAAUCGUGGCCUAACGAUCUUUAAACCUUCAGAAUUUAAAGCUAGAUGUGUUAGAAAAGUUACUGCGGGGAUAGCUGGCUUAUGGUAGCCAAGAUUUCAUAGCGAUGUUGAUUUUUGAUCCUUCGAUGUCGGCUCUUCCUAUCAUUGUGAAGCAGAAUUCACCAAGUGUUGGAUUGUUCACCCACCCAUAGAAAACGUGCGCUGGGUGAAGACCAUCGUGAGACAGGUUAGUUUUACCCUACUGAUGAAGGUGUCACAAUAGUAAUUCAACCUUAUACGAAAGAAAAUAUUAAUUCACUCAAUUGGUCAUCGUGCUAGUUUAAAAGGCCAGUAGCACAAAGCUACCAUGUGCUGGAUUAUGACUUAACGCGUCUAAGUCAGAAUCGGUGCUAAAAGUGAUGUAUGCGCUUGCCGUCCAUUUGUUGACCCGCAAUAGGGGCCUCGGCCCCCAAGGGCAUGUGUCAUUGGAUAAGCCAUCACGGUGGUAGGGUCAUAGUGGCAGCCUUAAAUUACAAUUUCCAUCGAGUGGCAGAUAGAAUCCUUUGAAGAUGACUUAAAUAUACGAUGGGGUAUUGUAAGUAGAAAGGUGGACUUACUACCAUGAUUAACUGAGAAUCGGACGGGAAUAUCCCU